CCUGCUUCACACGCAGGAGGUCGGCGGUUCGAGCCCGCCAGUCCCCACCA
rnacentral:tRNA from 1 species